GCAGAAGAGACUGUUUUUCAGCCCGAAGGAGCCGGAGCAGCUCCCCGAGUCCGGCCUGGACUUCAGUUACACCCCCACACCAGAGGAGGCGCUGGCACACAGAGUCCUGCAGCAGCUCGAGGAGGAGAAGCAGGAGAGCAAGAGGAUGAUGGAGCAGUUCCAGCGCUGGUCUGAAGGGGGUGCUCUGGAGCAGCUGUGCACGCCUCUGUUUAUGCCCUCGUCCACUCUGCUGACCCUGCCCACGCUGGUGCCGCCCCCUACAGGCAGGACCAGGGAGGCC
ensembl:lncRNA